rnacentral:tRNA from 1 species
GCCCAAUUAGCUCAGUGGUAGAGUACCACCAUGGUAAGGUGAGCGCCGUCGGUUCAAUUCCGUCAUUGGGCU